GGAGUUAUUGUAUAGUUUCAUAAUAUUAUUCUGUGUAAUAUAAUGUACGGGCAGUGAGAAGGAUGAGCUGAAGACGGUGGCUGCGGCCAAGGUGGAGAAGCUCACGGCGGAGCUUCAGACAGUCUCGUCGUCGAACAGCAAAUAUUUUGAUCCCGUCGAACGAAUUAAGCAAGGCUUCAUCACAUUCAAGAAGGAGAAAUACGAGUAAUUAACAAAUCAUUCUCUCUUCUUAUCAAUACUUUCGUUUUAGUAACACAUACGACAUAUUACCAGUUCAUAAUUCAAAACUUAAUUCUCUGCAGUACGAAUCCUGAUUUGUACGGUGAGCUCGCCAAAGGUCAAAGCCCAAAGGUAUAAGAAAAAAGAAGAAAAAAUAGAAUAUAGUUAGUGAUAUACGUGUAUGUAAGAUUAUAUAAUUCAUAUAUGCAUGUUCACUCACUCACUCGAAUAUCAUCAUGAAUUAUGAAUGGUGCAGUACAUGGUGUUUGCUUGUUCGGACUCACGUGUGUGCCCAUCACACGUGCUAAACUUCCAUCCUGGAGAUGCCUUCAUGGUUCGUAACAUCGCUAAUAUGGUUCCUCCUUUUGACAAGGUAAUUAAUUAGCACUUCAUAUUUAUACAAUGUUUACGUCUAAUUAUUCUAGAACAUUCUACCCAGAACGGAUUGUUUGACUUUGACUUAUAUGAAGUCGUGACAUGGCUUUAAUUCGGC
rnacentral:lncRNA from 1 species